rnacentral:lncRNA from 1 species
GAGACCUCCCGGACUCCUCCCCAAACGGCGCAGUCCUUUUCAACAGGUGACGACUCCAUCAGCACCUUGGGCCUGAUCCUCUGCGUGGGGCUCUCGCUGCUGCUUGUGUCCAUCCUGGGCUACAGCCUGGCCAAGUGGUACCAGCGUGGGUACUGCUGGGAGGGGCCUAACUUUGUCUUCAACUUGUACCAAAUCCGGAACCUGAAGGAUCUGGAGGUGGGGCCACCCUACACCAUCAGUGGCCACAUCAGCAGUCCAGGUGGCAGCUACAUGAAGUUCUCUGACAGGCUAGUCUGAUGGCAGGGGGAGUGUCAGCUUUCUGGAGCCCCAGCGAGGAGGAAGCUCCCGGCUCAGCACCUGCCCCUCGCGGGCUCCCCCGCUUUCACCUCCUGGGUUUUCAAGGCCUGGCCUGGACCCCUCCUGUGGACACUGAGGAGUCUUCUCUGGGGACAGCACCAGCCUGUGGCAUCAGAGCCCUCAGGAGAGGCAGGCCUCUGGGGACCAAGUCUGGUGGAGUCACAGUGGCUUUCUUACGGAAAAAAUGAGUCGGCCAUUCCCCAGGGAGGAGGGGCUGGUUCCCAGGAGGCCCCUGAGCCUGUGGGAGGAGUUCCAGGGACCCUGGAAAGCAGAGCCCUCCCAACUCUGCUCCAUGUGGGCAGGGCCUGGAGACUCCAAAGGGGGGCUCUACAUGGGGGCGUCCCCUCUCACUUCCCCUGUAGGGCUGACACCGGGGCCAGAAAACCUGUCAUAUCCUCAGCAGACAAAGUCGUGUGGGAGGGAGGUGUUUCCAGAUGCUUUUUAACCUUCCUACCAGAAGCUAGCCUCCCCUAAGAGCCGAGGGCUGAGCUUAGGCCUUUACUCUGCCCUGCCCCUCACUGCACUUGUGGCACUUUCAUCAGUCCGGCCCCUCCUCGCUCCGUGCCCUCACACACACUUGUCCCCCACCUGGGUCUGUUCUCCCUGCUGCUGACCAGCCUCUAUGCCUCCCAAGUAACUCAGGGCAAGGCUGAGAACGGUCUAGAGUCACCUUCUUGUUUUCAGGUUUUGCGAUGGGUGGGCAUUUGUGGAGACCUCCGUCUCCAGAGUUCUGCGUUUCCUGGGCAAGGCCUGCCUUGUAAUGUGGAAAGUGGACCAGAAGUGGUGAGAGUGGGGAAGAGGAACCUAGAUUAGGCUAAAAAAAAGAAAAAAAAAAAAAAACAACCCAAAAAAAACAACAGCCAGUUAAUGUCCAUGGGAAAUCAAGAACCAAGUAUAGCUUGGUGGACAGCAGAAGAGUUUGCCCAUGAGUCAUCACUCCUUCCUCUGGUCUGUGCCCUUCUGGACCCGAGGUGGGGCCCCAAACUGGAUGUCAGCUUGGUGGGUGCUUACUGCAGAGCUGUUCAGUGCAGAGAGACUGAGGUCUUAGUCUCCGAACUCUUCGUCUCCGACCGAUGGAGCAGGGCCUGAGAGGAGCCCUGCCCCUGCUGCAAACUGCACUAAGAACCACCAGCCACGGGUCUUCCUGCUGAGGUCCCAGUAACAAGGCCGACAAGCUGCAGAGGCCCGGGGCAGUGAUAGGCCAAGGGCAGAGAUGUCCUAUCCUUUGUCAUCUUAGCCUCUCUUUCUUGCUUUGGGUUCUAGCCGGUUGCCAAGGAAGGAGCGAAGGAAAGGCCUUAACCAGUUCCUAUCCCCUUACUUUCCCCCAGGGUCUGGGGGCCUUGCUCCCAACAGAACCAGACUCAAACUUAAUAAACUGGGGCUUCACCUGGAAGGCCCCAGCCUUCCAUUCCUGAGUAGGUCGUCGGGUGGUGGUGGUGGAGGAAGAGCUCCCAGUGGCUCUAGAUCCCUCCCUUCCUUGAAGACCUGUUAGGAGAGGAGAGGGGAGGGGACAUGGGCUGACUUUGGUGUCCUUCCUUGGAUUUCAAAGUUCAGAGGGCUGAGCGCCAUUUCUUAACCCAGGGGGGUCCAGCCUCCAUAAACUCUACCUUGAGCCCUGCUCAGCGUGGAUCCUGGGUCCACAGCCCAGGCCGGGCUGCCCUAGGCCCUGAAAGUGCUCAGAACUCAGCGCCCUUGGGGAAAGCUGAAAGGAUGGGGUCCUGGGUCGAGGUGGUCUUAGCCCCUGGUUUGGUGGCUUCAGGUGAGGAGACAGGGACAGCUGCCAAGGGGCUGGGAGAAUGGAGGGUAUUUCCUACCCUUGGGAGCGGAACUGAGACUGGGCCACUUCCUCUUUUAGGGUCCUCUGACGUGUCCCUGUCCCCCCCUCGUUCCUCUUCCUCCCCCUCGCUUUCCUGACUUCCGUUGUCUGACUGGCCAGCACAGCUUUCUUCAUUCGCCCUGGGCCCCAGGCCCUACCCUAGGACUCCAAGGCUGUUGUUGGGGGGCAGAUUCCAGCUCCGUCAGAAAUGGUGAGGGAACAUAGGCCUAGAAGUCUGGCUACAGGUCUAGUUGGUCUGGGACUGGCUGGGCUCCCGAACCAUGGUGAGCUGGGGGCCCUUCUGGAACCUCCCCCUCCUCUUAACUGUUCUUCACUUCACUGGCCCCAGGAGCCAGGAGGCGGUCAUGAAAGCCAGCAGUUCCCUGAGCCGGCUGUUCCCAGCCCCACUGCCACCCUGGUGCUCUUUGGCAUCUCUGCCAGGGCUGUUCUGCCUGGGAUGGCUUCACCCCCCACCCCAACCCCUCUGAGCCACAUCUACUCUCCAGGGCUGGCUCAAGUCUCAUCUGCCCUGUGGCUUCCCUCAGGACUUAGACUUGCUGCCACCCAACCAGGACGAGCCCUUGGGGACAGGGGGUUACAUCCCAUGGGUGGGUUGGUUUGUUGGUCAGUCUAUCUAUCUAUCUAUCUAUCUAUCUAUCUAUCUAUCUAUCUAUCUAUUAUCUAUUUAUUAUCUAUCUAUCUGUCUAUCUAUAUAUUUAUUAUCUAUCUAUAUCUAUCUAUCUAUCUAUCUAUCUAUCUAUCUAUCUAUCUAUCUAUCUAUCUAUCUAUCUAUCUAUCUAUCUUUUUAGGGCUGUACCCAAGGCAUACAGAAGUUCCCAGGCUAGGGGUUGAAUCGGAGCUGCAGCUGCUGGCCUGUGCCACAGCCACAGCAACACAAGAUCCUAGCUGCAUCUGCGACCUACACCACAGCUCACGGCAGCACUGGGUCCUUAACCCACUGACCGAGGCCAGGGAUCCAUGGUGUCUUCAUGGAUACCAGUUGGGUUCAUUACCGCUGAGCCAUAGUGGGCAUACUGCAAAGGUUUUUAGUAACCACUCAAAGUGAAGUCCAUAGGAGGUGCUUCAUAAUAGCCUGCUGAGUGGAGAAGAAACACCCAGUGUGGCCGUGGAGGCUGCCUUGUCCUAGAGGAAGAUGACGUGAGGUGACAUGAGGAAGAGCAGGAACUGCUGAUGCCGUACGCAGUCUACAGAGUACAAGGCAUUUCCAUGCCCAUUACUGCGUCCUUGAGCCUCAUAGCAGCCCUGUGACAUGAGAUGAUUAUUGGUCUCAUUUGACAUGUGGAGAGACAGAGGCUCGUAGAGGUGGCCACCCAGAGAGGUUGCAUAGCCAGCCACUGACUGCACUUGAGCCUGAGUAGCGUCUGAGGCCUCACAGAUGCAUCCUGAACUCAGGACUUGAGGGGAGGAGGGUUGAAAACUGUAGAACAGGGCCUGGCCUUCACUGGUCCUGCCAUGCGGUACGUCCACGCUGUCACUUCACCACCCUGGGCUUCUAUCUCAGCAUCUGGCAAUCAAGGCAUUGGACUGCUUCUCCGAGACUCCUCUCUUACUUGAAAGAGUCUUACCUUUUGGGUUUUUUGUUUUUUGCUUUUUGUUUUUUUUUUUAAUCCCUUUACUCUCAGCAUUUAGCAUAAGACCCGGUGCUUAGGAGGCAUUUGGUAAACAAAAGAAGCAAGUACAAAGUGUAGUUAUAACUCUAACUCAGCAAGUGGCAGCUGAAAGUUCCUUUAGGCCCUGAUGGUUUAGGAUCCUAUUACUCAGUCUUUCUCUGAUGUUGGCAGAGUCUGACCAGCAUCCAAGACUGGACCAUUCCUGAUGGAACCUUUCUUGAGCAGGAAGACGGAUGCUAACGUUUGCUAAACACAGAUCAGUGCAAACGCUGUCAUUGGUGAGGGAACAGAGGCUCAGAGUCUGGCGAAAUGAUUUGCUUAAGGCCAGGCAAGAUGGUAUUUUCUUUAUAAGCCUUCAUCACUUUUAGCCUCUGCCCAAGCUAGCAGCUCCCGAGCUCCGGGGCCCCCAAGGAAGCAGGCCCCUCCCCCUGGUCUCUAAUCUCUUUUCCAGGUCCCCUGGUCCACCCGGGGCAGCGGGGGGGCGGGNNNNNNNNNNNNNNNAGACUGUCGGAAGCCUGGGCUCUCCAUGCCCUGCUCUCAGCUCUGAGUUUCCCACUGACCCAUUCCUCUUUCCUCCUUGUAUUUUUUUCUAUCCCCUUUAACUUCCAGGUUAUCAAAUUCUGCCCUUUCUUUAUGUCAGCUCAAUUUUCACUUCUCCAGAGAGACUUCUGGAGAUCUAUGGAUCUUCUUGUCUUCUGAUUUUUUUUUUUAUUACAAAUACUCUGGCUCCCGUAAUUUAAUUCUUGAUCAUUCUCUUGUACUUAUUCAUUCACAUAGCUUCUAUAAUAGGCCAGGAACUGUUCUAGGCACCCAGAGGUAAUCCAGUGCCUCUUGAGAUUAACCUCACUCUCUCCUAUUUGAUGGGUACUUCUUUCAGGCAAAAUUCAGAUCUUAGACCUUUUCUGAGUUCUUUACGGUGGCUUGCAGGCUCUGGCCAUAGCCAGGAACUUCUCAGGAAAGUAUGUUGAAGGAUUCUUCAGGGAAUCUUGGGUGUUGCCUCCUCCAGGGUCCAGGUCUGUGUGCUCUGAAGAUCCAAAGAUUUUAAUUUUUCCUUCCCAUCCUCAGUCAUGUUCCACCCUUUGAUCAUCAGCCGAUACAGAUCUGCAGAAAGCGCACACACAGAGAUUUUUUCUCUAGGCCAACCUAAGGGAUGGCCAAACCCAGGAAGAGGCUGGGCUGGUGAGGAGGGGGCUCUGCACUCCUGCAGCUUCUCUUAAGGGGUAAUGACUUUGCUUCGUGCUGUGGCCAUGGAGGGGCCAGCAUCUACGGUGCCCCUCCCUCUCAGGGUUCUUAGAACCUCAUAGUGGGGGCAGAUGGGACUCUCAUUGCUAUAUUUUUUUAAACUGCUUAGUGAUCAAAAACAUCUAGAAGCGUGAUAUUUAAGAAGAUCUGGUACAAAACAGGAAGCUGGUGGCCUGGUGAAUUCUCACACUUGAGGACCAGAAGUGAGAAUGUUCUGUCUGCCCAGAGCAGCAGCAGGCCAACAAAACAACAGGUGGAGCAGCGCCAGAGACCUUGGUGGACUCCGCCUCUUGGAUUUUUCCUGCAGAGUCAUGGGGCUUGUCUCCCUCUCCCCAAAGCCUAGGAGGAGUUUUCUCAUACUUGAGCAGGGAGCCACGGGGCGGGAGAGGGGUAGAAAAUGGAAGAAGCCUCAUCUUCUCUUCUGGUCCCAGUAGCUGGUGGGCCCCAGGUGCCUUGCUUGUAUUGGGCUGCCAUUGGACUUGAGGACUCUGAGGUCCCUUCCUGCUGCAAGGCUAUUUCAGAGUGUGGGUGACUUCAGUUCCACAGUGCUGGGGGAGGGGAGGAGGUAGGCAGAGACGCCUCUGAGCAUGGUGUGUGUGUUGCAGAGGUGAGCCAAGGAAGAGAGGGAUCGUGUCUUGUUGUUGGCUGUAUUCCCAGAGGGCCUGCCCAUGACAGGUGCUCAAUGAAUGCUUGCAGAAGGGGUGAAUGGCUGCAUAUUCAAAGUUUCCAUGGCCCUUUGCCUUGCUUCCUGACCACAUCCCCUCGAUCUAGGCUUCCUGUUUAGUCUGCAGCCCCUAGUCCCUCCAACACCUAAGAGCCAUAGGGUGAAAACAGCAGAGAAGGGAAUAAUCACGGUAUAAUGUGCCUAAACCAAGAAGAUGACAAGCCUGAGAAUACAAUAAAAUUCACAUGCAGCCUG